UCGGGCAUGGUGUACGGAACACCGCCGGCUUUCUUGGAAUCUCGAAACAGCGAGUCACUGGCAGUCCGGGGUUCGACUCCCCGUGUCCGAA